rnacentral:rRNA from 1 species
GACGAACGCUGGCGGCGUGCUUAACACAUGCAAGUCGAACGGAAAGGCCCUGCUUGCAGGGUACUCGAGUGGCGAACGGGUGAGUAACACGUGGGUGAUCUGCCCUGCACUUCGGGAUAAGCCUGGGAAACUGGGUCUAAUACCGGAUAGGAGCCAUCUUUAGUGUGAUGGUUGGAAAGUUUUUUCGGUGUAGGAUGAGCUCGCGGCCUAUCAGCUUGUUGGUGGGGUAAUGGCCUACCAAGGCGGCGACGGGUAGCCGGCCUGAGAGGGUGGACGGCCACAUUGGGACUGAGAUACGGCCCAGACUCCUACGGGAGGCAGCAGGGGGGAAGAUUGCACAAUGGGCGCAAGCCUGAUGCAGCGACGCCGCGGGGGGGAUGACGGCCUUCGGGUUGGAAACUCGUUUCGCUAGGGACGAAGCUUUUUGUGACGGUACCUAGAGAAGAAGCACCGGCUAACUACGUG